rnacentral:rRNA from 1 species
CCUACGGGAGGCAGCAGUGAGGAAUAUUGGUCAAUGGGCGUAAGCCUGAACCAGCCAAGUCGCGUGAGUGAUGAAGGUUCUAUGGUUCGUAAACCUCUUUUAUAGGGGAAUAAAGUGUGAGGCGUGUCCUGUUUUGUAUGUACCUUAUGCAUAAGGAUCGGCUAACUCCGUGCCAGCAGCCGCGGUAAUACGGAGGAUCCGAGCGUUAUCCGGAUUUAUUGGGUUUAAAGGGUGCGUAGGCGGCCUUUUAAGUCAGAGGUGAAAGUCUGUGGCUCAACCAUAGAACUGCCGGUGAAACUGGGAGGCUUGAGUAUUUUUGAGGCAGGCGGAAUGCGGGGUGUAGCGGUGAAAUGCUUAGAUA